GAAGUGCGAUAAGCAAUGCGAAUUGCAGAACCGUGAGUCAUCAGAUUUUUGAACGCAAUUGGCGCCCGUUGGCUCUCCAACGGGCAUGCUUGUUUCAGUGUCUUGUUUUCUCCUCACCUAAACUUUAAUGUGAGAGAUACCCUUCUCUUACUAAGUACGAGAGCACUCUGAGCUCUGCAAGCGGCUUUUGGUCGCACUCAAUGCAGCAGUCACAUUAUUCAUAGUGUGAACUCAUUGAGAGUAGAGGCAGCGCAGCUUGUCUGCUAGUGCUUAGAUCUUUAAACUCUUCUUGCAUCUGAAAUCAAGCAGGAUCACCCGCUGAACUUAA
rnacentral:misc_RNA from 1 species